rnacentral:siRNA from 1 species
UAAAUGAGAUUUUCAAGUCGU